rnacentral:rRNA from 1 species
GAUGAACGCUGGCGGCGUGCUUAACACAUGCAAGUCGAACGAAACACCUUAUUUGAUUUUCUUCGGAACUGAAGAUUUGGUGAUUGAGUGGCGGACGGGUGAGUAACGCGUGGGUAACCUGCCCUGUACAGGGGGAUAACAGUCAGAAAUGACUGCUAAUACCGCAUAAGACCACAGCACCGCAUGGUGCAGGGGUAAAAACUCCGGUGGUACAGGAUGGACCCGCGUCUGAUUAGCUGGUUGGUGAGGUAACGGCUCACCAAGGCGACGAUCAGUAGCCGGCUUGAGAGAGUGAACGGCCACAUUGGGACUGAGACACGGCCCAAACUCCUACGGGAGGCAGCAGUGGGGAAUAUUGCACAAUGGGGGGAACCCUGAUGCAGCGACGCCGCGUGAGUGAAGAAGUAUCUCGGUAUGUAAAGCUCUAUCAGCAGGGAAGAAAAUGACGGUACCUGACUAAGAAGCCCCGGCUAGCUACGUGCCAGCAGCCGCGGUAAUACGUAGGGGGCAAGCGUUAUCCGGAAUUACUGGGUGUAAAGGGUGCGUAGGUGGUAUGGCAAGUCAGAAGUGAAAACCCAGGGCUUAACUCUGGGACUGCUUUUGAAACUGUCAGACUGGAGUGCAGGAGAGGUAAGCGGAAUUCCUAGUGUAGCGGUGAAAUGCGUAGAUAUUAGGAGGAACAUCAGUGGCGAAGGCGGCUUACUGGACUGAA